rnacentral:lncRNA from 1 species
UAAAUUAAUUGAUAAAAAACAAAAACAAUGUCCAUGUACCUUGAAAGAGAGUUUAGAAUACUUUGAUACAAAUGUAGAAUGUGGUUAGAAAUUUUUAAACAACACUAAAGACUAUAUGCCCCAGCAUAUUAACCAUUUACCUAAAAACUUAAUAUUUUGUAAGGGUUAACACAUAGAUUUUGAGAAAAAAUAAAACAAAAUAUGAAAAUAUUGUUUUAAAGCAUAGUUGUAUCAUAAAAUAACAUAUGAUGAUGGUGAGAGAGGUUUGAAACAUUUGUUGUCUCCGUUUCUCUAAAAUAACGAUUUUAUUGUGGUUUGUCCUUUGAUUUAGGGUGAAUAUGAAGUUUUACUAAAUUAAUUGAUAAAAAACAAGAAAAAUGUCCAUGUACCAUGAAAGAGAGUUAAUAA